GACAGGUCCUAUAUGUUUUCGCUCUCCUCUUUUUGAGCACCAUAAUUGCAGAAAUAAAAGCUGCAUCCAAUGUAAGGUGUCCAAGCACGUGGGUCCAAAAUACAGAUGAAAAACUAUGGAGGUCAUCAUACUGAUGCGGGAGGGGGGUUUGCAUGUGUGCAACCUUUGAAUUCGUCAAAUGGAUGAGGAAAAAGGCAAAGGACAAGACAUAUGGGCUGUAUUUCAUACUGCACAUGGAGUGGUUUCGAUCAUUUUUUUCUGUCUGUUUUGCUCCAUGACAUAUCAAACCGACAGUGCUGGGGUUUGCUUGAAGGAAUUGAAGAGAAAACAUUUCCUGUUUG